rnacentral:misc_RNA from 1 species
UCUGCUUCUCUACGAGGCAUCGUAUUCACGUGGUUCCUGACCUGCGUAAGCGUGUGUGAGGCCAACCGCGUGCACUCUUUGAGCGGGUAUUGCGUGUUCACGGAGGCCCCUCUACUCAUUCGACUGGCCUCCAGUCGCCAGUCCUUCUACGGCAACACUCAGCUCUGUACAGCUCGGCUUCGUCGUUGUCCUCGUAGUGGUCGAUCGUUCGAGUCGAUAUUUCGUGCGUGCACGCACAGACCGAGAUGUUGUCUGCUCCGAGUAAACGGUACUCACCGCGUGCUCGUGCCACUAAAUUCGAAUCAUAAUUUACGGAAACAACGUUCUUUGUAGAUUUCUCGUACAGAUUUUAUCAUACAGAUAUAUCGUAAUUGGUGUUCAAUUUCUCGAACAAUGGAUUGCUUAUCUCAUACAAAUUUAUUUCUCGCGAGAAGAUGACAAAGAAGAUAAACUAUAAAAAAUUACGAUUCUAGCGUUACUUUCGCUGUUUUUUAAUUUACGAAGGUGGUCUGUAUGGCUUGCGUGCGGCUCGUAUAAUGAUAGACCAAAUUUAACGUAUCUACAAUAAAUUGCAUCUAAUUAACUGUGAUGAAAAGAAAAUGUGUUCCGAGAAAGAAAAAUUCGCCUGAACUGCGGACGAUUACUCGAAUAACCAUUAUUCUUCGUUACGCAUCAAGAAACUAAUCCUGACUCCGAUUGUGUCCAAUCAUUCUUCCCCCUCUGAAUCAAUCAGAAUCGUCAAAACGAAGGGCAAUUCAACGAGUCA